rnacentral:rRNA from 1 species
AUUGAACGCUGGCGGAAUGCUUUACACAUGCAAGUCGAGCGAUGAAGUUUCCUUCGGGAAACGGAUUAGCGGCGGACGGGUGAGUAACACGUGGGUAACAUGCCUUAUAGAGUGGAAUAGCCUUCCGAAAGGAAGAUUAAUACCGCAUAAGGUUGAAAGAUGGCAUCAUCAUUCAACCAAAGGAGCAAUCCGCUAUGAGAUGGACCCGCGUCGCAUUAGCUAGUUGGUGGGGUAACGGCCUACCAAGGCGACGAUGCGUAGCCGACCUGAGAGGUUGAUCGGCCACAUUGGGACUGAGACACGGCCCAGACUCCUACGGGAGGCAGCAGUGGGGAAUAUCGCACAAUGGGGGAAACCCUGAUGCAGCAACGCCGCGUGAGUGAUGAAGGUUUUCGGAUCGUAAAGCUCUGUCUUUGGGGAAGAUAAUGACGGUACCCAAGGAGGAAGCCACGGCUAACUACGUGCCAGCAGCCGCAGUAA